rnacentral:rRNA from 1 species
GACAGAGGUGCCAAGCGUUAGGCGGAAUCACUGGGCUUAAAGCGUGUGUAGGCGGAUCGUUAAGUACCUUGUGAAAUCCCACGGCUCAACCGUGGAACUGCUGGGUAUACUGGCGGUCUUGAGCCACCUAGGGGCAACUGGAACAAGCGGUGGAGCGGUGAAAUGCGUAGAUAUCGGGAGGAACACCAGUGGCGAAGGCGACUACCUGGCCUGUUCUUGACGCUGAGGCGCGAAAGCUAGGGGAGCGAACGGG